CCUUCACAAGCCACAACACGCAAGUUUCUCAGCACAGAUCGUGUGAGCUCACAGCGGAAAAAACAAAUUACAUGUGUCUGCUACUAGUCAAAAUACUAGGAGUUCCAAGGCUAGCCGCCGUUUGAAGGCGAGUGUUGAUGAAGUAAUAUAUUGGAAGUAUUCAAGUAUGUUAAUUUACCUGUGCUUUUUGAUACCGCGUAGUUUAUAUCUUUUAUAUAACAAAGAUCAUCUAAGAUAAAGCAACUGGACACGCAUUGCUAAGGAUAAAAUCUUCUUUGGUUUCAAAACAAACCGUCAACGGACAUAUUUCCUUGCUAAAUUGGUAAGUUCAUAAAUCCCACAUUACAAUUGAGGGAUUUCUAUGUAGACUUAGUUUAUAUUAUUGCUUUAUAGAGCAUUCAAAUAAGUUUACCAGCCAAAACAGCA